rnacentral:sRNA from 1 species
AGGCCAGGGAAGGGCAGGGACUCCUUGCAAGGACACAUCCCUGCUUAAAGGGGACCUCGUGCACCGCAAAUAAUCUCCCCAAAGCCAUUGCCGCUGCUCACACCUUUCUACUGAAGCAUCCUGAUGACGAAAUGAUGAAGAGGAACAUGGCAUAUUAUAAGAGCCUGCCUGGGGCCGAGGACUACAUUAAAGACCUGGAAACCAAGUCAUAUGAAAGCCUGUUCAUCCGAGCAGUGCGGGCAUACAACGGUGAGAACUGGAGAACAUCCAUCACAGACAUGGAGCUGGCCCUUCCCGACUUCUUCAAAGCCUUUUACGAGUGUCUCGCAGCCUGCGAGGGUUCCAGGGAGAUCAAGGACUUCAAGGAUUUCUACCUUUCCAUAGCAGAUCAUUAUGUAGAAGUUCUGGAAUGCAAAAUACAGUGUGAAGAGAACCUCACCCCAGUUAUAGGAGGCUAUCCGGUUGAGAAAUUUGUGGCUACCAUGUAUCAUUACUUGCAGUUUGCCUAUUAUAAGUUGAACGACCUGAAGAAUGCAGCCCCCUGUGCAGUCAGCUACCUGCU